ACCAUUGUUCAUUUCAAAAUUCAUUUUUUGCUUUUUUCUCAUAUGUAAUGUCAAAUACUAUUAGCAAGCACCUUUUGGCUUGUGCACGCAUGUUCAGGAUAAUUUAUAAAGGUGAGAGAAUUCCUCGAUUUUGACAAUUGUGAAUCAUUCAUGAAAAAAAUUCUGAAAUUUUUUGCAAAUUAUUCAUGGAUCAUGCCUCUAACUCUUAUGUUAACUUGUUGUUAGAUGAGCUGGUGGAGAAUAGUUUAUGUGAGUGAUCUAGGGUUCAAUUUUGAUAAAAUGACUAUCAGGUGCAAUAGAUUCAAAAAAUGACAAAUAUAUGGUGUGAGUCGCGAGUUGAAACUUAGGACCCUUUUCUUCCUUGUUUCAUGGUUUUCUUUUUUUUUUUUUUUUUUUUUUUUUUUUUUUUUUCUUUCUUUCUUUUUAAUUUGUAUUCUAUGUCAUCCAAAGUCCAGGUUCUAGACAAUGAUGAGAUUGCACGCUUUCAAUUUUGUGGUUUUCUAUCAUUACACUCUUGUUAAAAUCAUAUCCUCUUCAUGUAAAAUGAUAUUUUGAUGCAAUUGCACUUAUUAACUUUUGUGUGCUUUGCAAGGAGAUCCUAACUUUCAUUUACCCAACAUGCUAUCAAUUGGGUGUUUGUUUAAAUUCUAUUUUUUGUUAUUUUCAUCUUCAACAGGCUUAUGUUCAACAGCUAGAGUCUAGUAGGAUUAACUUAACUAGUACAGGAGCUCUAGAGGGCUCGAGCUCAGGUGAGGCUCUUUAUUCAUGUGUACUAUAUAUAGUACAUUAUCCAGCGUAAAGUUGAAUAAUCCGCUGUCCAUUCUCAUGAGAUUUUGAUUUAGACUUGCUAUGGUAGACCGUGUUAAGAUCCCUUCAAGACAUUGAUGGUGGAUGAUAGACUAUAAAUUGAAUUCUCAUGCCUCUUUCUAAUUUUUGUUGUUUUGCAAAAUUAUAUUUAUUGGGAAAUAUUUUUGGGAUGUGAAUGCUCUUAUUGACCUUUCUUGUGGUCAGGCAAGUCUAUCAUUCAAAAAGCUCUAUUUGAAGUUGGAUGCUCUCUCUCAUUUUCUAUUGAGAAACUUCUAAUAUUGGGUAGGGGAAAUCCAAUUUCUACAUCCAGUGAUGAGAGUGAAUAAGAAGAGUGUGGAUUUCAUUUUCUGUUCUUCUUUAUACUUGGAAGUUGGGUUUAAUAUUGCUCAAGUCAUUAGGGUAUAACCCAUGUAUGGAGGAUUUCAUGUUUUCAUGCUUAGGCCGCCAACCAAAAACAAAGUUCUCCACCUGUGGCUGGCCAUGAUUUAGAUAAUGCUAAGCACAAUUUGCAAAACAAAUCUACAGCUUUGAGAAACUUUGCAGAAGUUUUAUAACCCAUUCGUCAGUUUCAAAUAUUGGAGGCCAUAUGCUGGUUGGACCAGAUUUUGCUUUUGGGAAAACAUACACAAGGUUGGUUUGUUGAAUUUGGAAAGUGAGGACUUCGCCAAGAAAGUAGUAGAUGCUACGCAAACUAGUUUACAGGUUUGCAAUUUGAGACUCUUGAUUACUUUUGUGGUCUUAUCCUUAUUUUGAUUGCAUUUGGAUCUUUUGUUGGCCGUUGAUAUUCCUUCUGCAUGUUCUGGCUUGCAAAUUUAGUUUAAAUUUCUUUAGAACAACAGCCCGUUUGGUAGAAGAGGUAACACCUCUACCUGUGCUGAUCUUGAGCAUGAAGGAAAACAGACAGAAAACCAGGCCAGCUAUUGUAUUUCUGCAUAGCUCUUACAA